rfam:Spizellomyces punctatus DAOM BR117 chromosome Tnknown supercont1.23, whole genome shotgun sequence.
ACCCCCGUAGUGUAAUGGAGAUCACGUUGGACUUCUAAUCCAAAGAUUGCGGGUUCGAGUCCCGCCGGGGGUG